AUUCUUAGCGCUGGCUCUGGAAUGUACUUGGUUUCCAGAGGACGAGGAGAAGGUUGUCGAGCCGUCAGCGGAUGCCUUCCGGCAUGCUCUGUCGAGAGUCUGUGGUCAAAGCGCAGGGGUGACCCUGCGGACAAAGCUGCAGACA
rnacentral:ncRNA from 1 species